GAUGAACGCUGGCGGCGUGCUUAACACAUGCAAGUCGAACGAACCUUCGGGUUAGUGGCGGACGGGUGAGUAACGCGUGAGAAUCUGCCCUCAGGAGGGGGAUAACGGCUGGAAACGGCCGCUAAUACCCCAUAUGCCGAGAGGUGAAACGAGUUUUCGCCUGAGGAUGAGCUCGCGUCUGAUUAGNUAGUUNNUNNGNUAAGAGCCUACCAAGGCAUCGAUCAGUAGCUGGUCUGAGAGGAUGAUCAGCCACACUGGGACUGAGACACGGCCCAGACUCCUACGGGAGGCAGCAGUGGGGAAUUUUCCGCAAUGGGCGAAAGCCUGACGGAGCAACGCCGCGUGAGGGAUGAAGGCCUUGGUCUGUAAACCUCUUUAUCAAGGAAGAAGAUCUGACGGUAC
rnacentral:rRNA from 1 species